UCAUUAAGUUGGGCACUCUAGAGAGACUGCCAGGGAUAACCUGGAGGAAGGUGGGGAUGACGUCAAAUCAUCAUGCCCCUUAUGCUUAGGGCUACACACGUGCUACAAUGGGUAGUACAGAGGGUUGCCAAGCCGUAAGGUGGAGCUAAUCCCUUAAAGCUACUCUCAGUUCGGAUUGUAGGCUGAAACUCGCCUACAUGAAGCUGGAGUUACUAGUAAUCGCAGAUCAGAAUGCUGCGGUGAAUGCGUUCCCGGGUCUUGUAC
rnacentral:rRNA from 1 species